rnacentral:rRNA from 1 species
GAUGAACGCUGGCGGCGUGCCUAAUACAUGCCAGUCGAGCGAACAGAUGAGGAGCUUGCUCCUCUGACGUUAGCGGCGGACGGGUGAGUAACACGUGGAUAACCUACCUAUAAGACUGGGAUAACUUCGGGAAACCGGAGCUAAUACCGGAUAAUAUAUUGAACCGCAUGGUUCAAUAGUGAAAGAUGGUUUUGCUGUCACUUAUAGAUGGAUCCGCGCCGCAUUAGCUAGUUGGUAAGGUAACGGCUUACCAAGGCAACGAUGCGUAGCCGACCUGAGAGGGUGAUCGGCCACACUGGAACUGAGACACGGUCCAGACUCCUACGGGAGGCAGCAGUAGGGAAUCUUCCGCAAUGGGCGAAAGCCUGACGGAGCAACGCCGCGUGAGUGAUGAAGGUCUUCGGAUCGUAAAACUCUGUUAUUAGGGAAGAACAAAUGUGUAAGUAACUAUGCACGUCUUGACGGUACCUAAUCAGAAAGCCACGGCUAACUACGUG